UACGUAGGUGGCGAGCGUUGUCCGGAAUUACUGGGUGUAAAGGAUGCGUAGGCGGAUACUUAAGUCAGAUGUGAAAGCCCCGGGCUUAACCUGGGGAGUGCAUUUGAAACUGGGUAUCUAGAGUACAGGAGAGGAAAGCAGAAUUUCUGGUGUAGCGGUGAAAUGCGUAGAUAUCAGGAAGAAUACCGGUGGCGAAGGCGGCUUUCUGGACUGUAACUGACGCUGAGGCAUGAAAGCGUGGGGAGCAAACAGG
rnacentral:rRNA from 1 species